rnacentral:rRNA from 1 species
AAAUAUAAUUGAGUUUAAUAUUUUUAUUAAAUAAAUUUAAAUUAAUUAAAGUAAUAAUAAAGAAAUAAAUUUAAGUAAUUUUUAUGAAAAAAUUUUUAUAAUUAUAAAUAUUGUAUUGUAAAAGAUUAAUUUAUUAUUUUGAUAGAUUAAUUAAUUUUUAGUACCUUUUGUAUCAGGGUUUAUUAAACAUUUUUAUUUAAUAAUAGAUAUUUCGAAAUUAAUUGAGCUAAAAUAUUUUUAAUUUAAUUAAUGUUUUAAUAUUAUUAAUAAUAAAAUUUUAGUAAUUAUAUGUUAAUCGAAAUUAAUAAUAUCUAAUUUUUUAAUAAAUAAAUUUAAUUUAGUAAUUUAUUUUAAAAAUUAAUAAUUAUUUAUUUUAGUUAUUAAUUAAUAAUAAAUUAAAAAAUUUUAAGGGAUAAACUUUAAAAUUUGUAAUAUAAUUUUAAUUAAAUUAAUUUAUUUGAGUAUAAUUUGUAAUUUUAAUUUUUUAAAAAAAUAUAAUAAUUUAAAUUUGUUAUAAUUAAUUAUUUUGAUUAAAUUUAAUAUUAAUAUUAAAAUAUAAUUUAUAAUAAUAUAAAAUUAUUAAUAAUGAUUAAAUUAGUAAAUUUUUAAAAUUUAGUUUGUUAAUAAUUAUUAAAAUUAAAUUAAUGAAUUAAACAAAAAUUAAUAUUUACCUGUUUAUUAAAAACAUGUCUUUUUAAAGUUAAUUAAAAGUCAGAUCUGCUCAAUGAAUAAUAUUUUUAAUAGCUGCAAUAUUUUGAUUGUACAAAGGUAGUAUAAUAAUUUGCCUUUUAAUUAAAGGAUAAUAUAAAAGAUUUAAUAAAAUAUUAGUUAUAUAAAUUUAAUUUAAAUUAAAUUUUAUUUUUAAGUAAAAAAUCUUAAAUAUUUUUAUAAGACGAUAAGACCCUAUAGAAUUUUAUAUAGAGUUUAAUUAAAAUUAAUUAAUUUAUUUUUUAAUUAUAAAAAUAUUUUAUUGGGGAAAUAAAAAAAUUUAUAAAUUUUUUUAUUUAUUAAAUUAUUAAUAAAUGAAAUUUUAAAAGAGUGUUAUAUUAUAAAUUAAUAAAUUAAAUUACCUUAGGGAUAACAGCAUAAUUUUUUUUAAAAGAUCUUAUUGAAAAAAAAGAUUAUGACCUCGAUGUUGAAUUAAGAUAAAUAUUAAAAGAAGAGUUUUAAUUAUUAAGUCUGUUCGACUUUUAAAAUCUUACAUGAUUUGAGUUAAAAUCGGCGUAAGCCAGAUUGGAUUCUAUCUAUAAAUAGAUAAUAAGUAUUUGUACGAAAGGACUUUAUUUAUUAAAUAAUUAAAAUUAAAAUUAAUUGAAUAAAAUUAAAAUUUUAUAAUAUAAUAAAUAUUUAAUUUAUAAAUAU